UGCACGAUGGCGGAGGGGCGGACGCCGCACGCAGCGCCGGCACAGAGAGCUCUGGCGGCGUCGGCUCGGCGUCGGCUCGGUGUCGCAGCCCCACGGAGGCCCCGCUGGCGCAGCCCCACAGCGACCUUCAGCCCCACAACAACCCUCAGCUCCACAUCGACCCUCAGCCCCCUGGCGACCUUCAGCCCCACAGCAACUCUCAGCCCCACAUCAGCUCUCAGCCCCACAACGACCUUCAGCCCCACAGCGACCCUCAGCCCCCACUCGCGGAGCCCCACAGCGACAGCGAUGGGGGCACAGAGGUGGAACGGGCAGCCAAUGCACAGCCCGUGUGUAGGGCAGAGCCCCCCUGUGGGGCAGAGCCCAUCUGUGGGGUCGGCAGUGUGGGGCUGCCCCACAUCCCGAGCGCCAUGGGGCCGCAGAUGGCAGCGGAGCUCAGCGCCGUGCUGGGGGGGGACGCUGAGCUGCUGCAGGUAAUGCUGGAAUGGCCCUGCGACCCACACCAAAGCCACCCCAAUCCACCCCAAAUCGCCCCAACCCACCCCAAUUCCCUCCGAUUCACCUCAAAUUGCCCCAGUCCAACUCAAUCCACCCCCAAAUCCACCCCAAUUCACCCCAAAUCGCCCCAAUCCACCCCAAUUCACCCCAAAUCCCCUCAGUUCACCCAAAUCGCCCCAACCCACCCCAGUUCCCUCCGAUUCACACCAAAUUGCCCCAAUUCAACUCAAUCCACCCCAAAUCCACCCCAAUUCCCUCCAAUCCACCCCAAAUCGCCCCAAUCCACCUCAGUUCACCCUAAAUUC
rnacentral:lncRNA from 1 species